GGAAGGAUGAGAAGCUUCGACUAAGGUUCGACUCGAGCGAAGCGAGAGAACGUUGCCGCAGGCAACGGCCCGAAGGGCGAGGCGCUUUAGCGCCGAGUAAUCCUUCCCCCACCACCA
rnacentral:sRNA from 1 species